rnacentral:hammerhead_ribozyme from 1 species
AUCUAGCUGAUGAGUCCUAAACGGGACGAAAUACGCGUCCUGGAU